UAAAACAUGUUCUAAUAAUUACAUACAUUGUUUACAAUGCAUGAUUGAUAUGUUUAUUUAAUUUUUUAUAUAAGUAUAUUUCUUUGUUAUAGUUUUACCAUGACAAGUCUGAUCAAAUUGGAGUUUCUAGCUCUUGAUAUCAAUGGUAAUAAUUAUUUAUCAUGGAUGCUUGAUGCUGAAAUUCAUUUGGAUAUCAUGAAUCUUGGAGAAACGGCUAAAGAAGGAAAUAAGACUUCUAGUCAAGAAACCAUGAUUUUUCUUUGACAUCAUUUUCAUGAGGGAUUAAAGAUUGAAUAUCUUACAGUAAAGAUCCCUAUAUCCUAUGGCAAAGUUUGAAAGAAAGAACAAAACAAUGAGCUAUUAAUGAAAAAUCAUGAAUCCCGGCCAACUGCAGCAACACCAUUCCCUAAAGUGAAUGCUUUAAUUUCAAAUAAUCAUGGUUGAGGUCGAGGUCGUGGUACAUGGUAAUAAUCAUUCAGAUUUCAAGAAAACCACAAAUACUGAUGAUCAUAGAGGGAAAACUCCACAAAAUAAGAGCUCUAACAAUCUUGAAAUUCAAUGCUUUUGAUGUGGUAUGAAGGGGCAUUGUUCUUGUAUCUGUCGUACGACCAAACACUUAGUUGAUCUCUAUCAAGCUUCAUUGAAGGAGAAAGGGAUAAGUGUUGAAUAUCCUAUUUCUCAUGUUCAUACACAAAAGGUUUAGCUUAAUCAUUUAUCAAACAUUCAUAAUGGUAGACCAUUACUUUUGAGAGCAGAACUUCCAAUAUUUUUUUUAUGGGGUCAUGCUAUUUUGCAUGCAACGUUGCUUAUAUGCAUCAUACUGAUAUCUUAUCAUAAGUACUCCCCAGUACAAUUAGCUUAUGACCAGGAGCCAAAUAUUUUCCAUUUGCGAUUUUUUUAUUGAGCAGUCCAGUUGUCCUACCACAACAUAUUAAAAUGGGACCUCAAAGAAGGUUAGAAAUAUAUGUUGGAUUUGAUUCCUCAUCAAUUAUUAGAUAUCUUGAACCCCUCACAAAA